CUCAGUUUAUUACUGCCUUUUUAGGAGCAUGUUUUUCCUAAGGCUUGCUGAAAGAGAGCUGUCCGCUAGGUCUAGUGGAUGGGGAUGUUUUCCUCCUGUUGAGGACUUGCUCUUUUUCCUUGUGGCAGAUGUGUGACUGCUGAAAACUUAAUGCGCUAUUUUUUCAUCGGUCUGGUUUCAAAUUGUUCGGGCUGAAGAAAAGAGAGCCCGAACAAUGCAAGGGCUGGAGGAAGGGUCGUGAUGAACAGUCCCAUCUGGGUACUUUUCAGCUCUAGGACAUGGAAUACCAGUGCUGCAAUAGCUGCUAGUGCCUGCUUCUGCAUGAGGCAGUUCUCGAGCCCCAGGUAACCCUGUCUGAGCGCCAGAACUGGCUGUGCUGUUCGCCUGGCGAUCCAGCCUUGCAUAGCACUUCAAAAACUGAUACAGUGCAGCUCUCCCAGAAACAACAUUGCUGUGAGAUACUGAAAGGCCGCUCUCAGGUCUUCCUGGACCCUUCUCCAGACUGAACAGCCCAGCUCUCUCAGCCUGAUCUCAUAGGAUAGCUGUUCCUUCCAUCCCUUGGAUCAUUUUUGAGGCCCUCCUCUGGACAUGUUCUAACAAGUCUACAUCUCUCCUGUACUGAGGACUCCACAUCUGGAUGCAGUAUUCCAGGCGAGGUCUCACCAGCGCAGAGCAGAGGAGCAGGAUAAACUCCCUCAACCUGCUGGCCAUGCUUCUUUGGAUGCAGCCCAGGAUAUGGUUGGUUUCUGGGCUGCGAGGGCACUUCGCUGGCUCAUGUCCAGAUUCCCAUCCCCCAGUACCACUAAGUACUUUUCAUCAGGACCAUGCUCUAUCCUUACAUCCCCCUUUGUUUUAAUAGCAGGGGUUGACA
rnacentral:lncRNA from 1 species